rnacentral:lncRNA from 1 species
GAUUAACAUAUAUGCUCCAGCUUGAGGGGGAGUGUUAUGAAUAGUAAUAAGUAUCCCACAUUGGUUUAGUGUUCCUAGUUGUGAUAGUUCUCUUACAUAUAAAUAUGUACUCUUUUCUCCAAUAUAAAUACACCUUCCUACUUCUUCUUCUUCAAUAUGUUUUAUAUCUUUAUUCUCUACAGACAUCAAGAUAUUUGUAUGCACGAUCAAGUUUUUUUCUCCAUCAUAAUGAAUAUUUCUGGGUAAGUAAAACUCCAAAAAGACGCCUAGCUUGACAGAAACAUACUCAAAGCUUCAGGUUAAAACAUGGAUAUAAUUUCAGGUCCUAUUACUAUUAGCAAUUAAAAUAUCAAGAGAUCCAGGUAACUGCUCGUGGAUAUGGACUAUUAGGUAAGAGCCCUCCCUUUUUAGCUAGUCAUAAAUGAAGAAAGAGAAAAAAUAAAAAUCAAAUAGCAUACCUU